rnacentral:rRNA from 1 species
CUCUUUGUCCGGAGCGAAAGGUUAACGGUGAAUAUCCGUGACUACUGACGGUACCGGAAGAAUAAGCACCGGCUAACUACGUGC